UGCAAGUCGAGGGGCAGCAUGGUGUAGCAAUACACUGAUGGCGACCGGCAAACGGGUGCGGAACACGUACAGAACCUUCCUUCGAGCGGGGAAUAGCCCAGAGAAAUUUGGAUUAAUACCCCAUAGUAUUCCGGAGAGGCAUCUCUUUGGAAUUAAAGAUUUAUCACUUGAAGAUGGCUGUGCGGCUGAUUAGGUAGUUGGCGGGGUAACGGCCCACCAAGCCUACGAUCAGUAACUGGUGUGAGAGCACGACCAGUCACACGGGCACUGAGACACGGGCCCGACUCCUACGGGAGGCAGCAGUAAGGAAUAUUGGUCAAUGGACGAAAGUCUGAACCAGCCAUGCCGCGUGAAGGAUGAAGGUCCUCUGGAUUGUAAACUUCUUUUAUAUGGGACGAAAAAAGGCCUUUCUAGGGCGUGUGACGGUACCAUAUGAAUAAGCACCGGCUAACUCCGUGCCAGCAGCCGCGGUAAUACGGAGGGUGCAAGCGUUAUCCGGAUUCACUGGGUUUAAAGGGUGCGUAGGUGGGCAGGUAAGUCAGUGGUGAAAUCCCCGAGCUCAACUUGGGAACUGCCAUUGAUACUAUCUGUCUUGAAUACCGUGGAGGUUAGCGGAAUAUGUCAUGUAGCGGUGAAAUGCUUAGAUAUGACAUAGAACACCGAUUGCGAAGGCAGCUGGCUACACGAAUAUUGACACUGA
rnacentral:rRNA from 1 species